AGAGAGAUUCGUGAGUUCUGGUCUGGCGUCGAGCAAGAAAUGGAUCGAAGGCCGUCUUCGGCCUC
rnacentral:sRNA from 1 species